GGAGAGCUGUCUGAGCGGUCGAAAGAGCCGGUCUUGAAAACCGGUGAUGUGAAAGCAUCCGUGGGUUCGAAUCCCACGCUCUCCUCCA
rnacentral:tRNA from 2 species